rnacentral:rRNA from 1 species
CCUACGGGAGGCAGCAGUGAGGAAUAUUGGUCAAUGGGCGCGAGCCUGAACCAGCAACGUAGCGUGAAGGAUGACUGCCCUACGGGUUGUAACUUUCUUUUUUAAAGGAAUAAAGUGAGGCACGCGUGCCUUCUUGUCAGUACUAACUGCAUACGGAUCGGCUAACUCCGUGCUAGCAGCCGCGGUUAUACGGAGGUUCCGAGCGUUAUCCGGAUUUAUUGGGUUGAAAGGGAGCGUAGGUGGGAUGUUAAGUCAGUUGUGAAAGUUUGCGGCUAAACCGUAAAAUUGCAAUUGAGACUGGCUGUCUUGAGUGCAGUUGAGGUAGGCGGAAUUCGUGGUGUAGCGGUGAAAUGCUUAGAUAUCACGAAGAACUCCGAUGGCGAAGGCAGCUUACUAAGCUGUCACUGACAUUGAUGCUCGAAAGUGUGGGUAUCAAACAGGAUUAGAUACCCUAGUAGUC